CCACCACAUUUCUUGUGCCUUGACGUGGCGUGGUGGCUAUGUAUACAUAGAGUAUACAUUCUGAACAAGA
rnacentral:ribozyme from 1 species